rnacentral:rRNA from 1 species
UACGUAGGGGGCAAGCGUUGUUCGGAAUGACUGGGCGUAAAGGGUGCGUAGGCGGUGUAGCAAGUUAGAAGUGAAAUACCUAGAGCUUAACUCAGGUGCUGCUUCUAAAACUGCUAUACUUGAGUGCAGUAGAGGAAAGUGGAAUUCCUAGUGUAGCGGUGGAAUGCGUAGAUAUUAGGAGGAACAUCAGUGGCGAAGGCGACUUUCUGGACUGUAACUGACGCUGAGGCACGAAAGUGUGGGGAGCAAGCAGG